rnacentral:ncRNA from 1 species
GUCGCCCGCGGUGAGAGGGAACCCGGUGAGACUCCGGGACUGUCCCGCAGCGGUGAGUGGGAACGAACGCCGUCACGAGCACUGGGUACGCCUGGGAAGCGAUGGCCAUUAGGUGCGGCAACCGCCGCGCGCCCACGAGUCCGAAGACCUGC